AUUCAAAUCAUGUUGUUGUUUUGCCUCGGAGUAUCAAGAUCGUUAGGAUACACGUAAUGUAAGAAUAAGUAAGCUUCGAGCAAAACAAUGUCGCCACUAUGUGCAACAGUCGAACAGAGACGAAUUUGAAUUUUCCCACUCUCCCCCGACCGGUAUAAAUAAGCGGACGAGAUCGCAAGGAAACGAGUUACGGUCAGUUGUCGAUCAGUUAUCAACCAGUUAUCAACGAAUUAUCAGCGAUUUAAUUAACGAGUCAUUAGCGAUCCUAUUUUACGACUUGUACACUGUCUUAGCGAAUCGCGGUUUCAACAACGAGCAAUCUCGUCCAUUAAACCUCACCGGCCAACCAUCCUCUACGCAUAAACCUCUACAGCUGUAUAAACUGUUCGUCCCUCUGACAAGUUCAAAGACAAAUGGAGUUGCACCG
rnacentral:misc_RNA from 1 species